UUUCCUACGGGAGGCAGCAGUGAGGAAUAUUGGUCAAUGGCCGUAAGGCUGAACCAGACAAGUAGCGUGAGGGAAGACUGCCCUAUGGGUUGUAAACCUCUUUUAUGCGGGGAUAAAGGUGUCCACGUGUGGAUGUUUGCAGGUACCGCAUGAAUAAGGACCGGCUAAUUCCGUGCCAGCAGCCGCGGUAAUACGGAAGGUCCGGGCGUUAUCCGGAUUUAUCGGGUUUAAAGGGGGCGGAGGCCGGGCUUUAAGCGGGCCGUGAAAUUUUGUGGCUCAACCAUGAGAGUGCGGCGCGAACAGGG
rnacentral:rRNA from 1 species